AUUGAACGCUGGCGGCAUGCCUUACACAUGCAAGUCGAACGGCAGCACGGGUGCUUGCACCUGGUGGCGAGUGGCGAACGGGUGAGUAAUACAUCGGCACGUACCUUAUCGUGGGGGAUAACGCAGCGAAAGCUGUGCUAAUACCGCAUACGCCCUGAGGGGGAAAGCGGGGGAUCGACAGACCUCGCGCCAUUAGAGCGGCCGAUGCCUGAUUAGCUUGUUGGUGGGGUAAAAGCCCACCAAGGCGACGAUCAGUAGCUGGUCUGAGAGGACGAUCAGACACACUGGGACUGAGACGCGGCCCAGACUCCUACGGGAGGCAGCAGUGGGGAAUUUUGGACAAUGGGGGCAACCCUGAUCCAGCAAUGCCGCGUGAGUGAAGAAGGCCUUCGGGUUGUAAAGCUCUUUUGUCAGGGAAGAAACACCGGCUCUAACACAGUCCGGGAAUGACGGUACCUGAAGAAUAAGCACCGGCUAACUACGUGCCAGCAGCCGCGGUAA
rnacentral:rRNA from 1 species